rnacentral:antisense_RNA from 1 species
GAUCCACUUGAGUUGGAUGAGGUAUCAGAAUCUUCUCCAUUGCCUGAUUCAUCAUCGUCUGUAUCUUCAUCUUCAUUUCCUUCCUCUCUGCCAUCUUCCCUGCCUCUUCUUCCUCCUCCUCCUCCUCUUCCGCCACUACUACCUCCUCCCGCUCCGCUACCGCUUCCUCCUGCUCCGCUACCGCUUCCUCCUGCUCCGCUUGAAGUGGCACCUCCACUUAUUCCCCCUAAUGAGCCUGUAUCACUUGGAGCGCUUGGGCUACUGCUGGAUCCGCCUGUAGUGGCAACUUUGCCUGCUCCUGUCGGGGCACUGCCUGUGCCACUUGGAGUGCUCCUCGACUCGCUUAGAGUGCCGCUCGGGCCACUUGGAGUGCUGCUUGGACCCCUUGGAGAGCUGCUUGAAGCGCCUCCCCUUCCUCCUAAUCCGCCCGGAGACCUACUUGGAGC